rnacentral:rRNA from 1 species
UACGUAGGGGCAAGCGUUGUCCGGAAUUAUUGGGGCGUAAAGCGCGCGCAGGCGGCAGCUUAAGUCUCAUGUUUAAACCCGGGGCUCAACUUCGGGUCGCAUGGGAAACUGGGCAGCUUGAGUGCAGGAGAGGAGAGUGGAAUUCCACGUGGAGCGGUGAAAUGCGUAGAGAUGUGGAGGAACACCAGUGGCGAAGGCGACUCUCUGGUCUGUAACUGACGCUGAGGUGCGAAAGCGUGAGUAGCGAACAGGAUUAGAUA